rnacentral:miRNA from 1 species
UGUCCAGUAGCACCUUAUAGACCAACUAAGUUUGUUCUGGUAUAAGCUGUUCUGGUAUAAGAUACCAGAAGAAGUGUGCAUGCACAUGAAAGCUUAUACCAGAACAAACUUAGUUGGUCUAUAAGGUGCUACUGGACA